CAGUAGCCACGGUAAUACGAGGGGGGCAAGCGUUGUUCGGAAUUAUUGGGCGUAAAGGGUGCGUAGGCGGUUUGGUAAGUCUUGUGUGAAAUCUUCGGGCUCAACUCGAAGUCUGCACGAGAAACUGCCGGGCUUGAGUGUGGGAGAGGUGAGUGGAAUUUCCGGUGUAGCGGUGAAGUGCGUAGAUAUCGGAAGGAACACCUGUGGCGAAAGCGGCUCACUGGACCAUAACUGACGCUGAUGCACGAAAGCUAGGGGAGCAAACAGGAUUAGAUACCCCCGUAGUCCCUGUCUCUUAUAC
rnacentral:rRNA from 1 species